rnacentral:rRNA from 1 species
UUACACACCGCCCGUCACACCAUGGGAGUGGGUUUCACCAGAAGUAGGUAGUCUAACCGCUAAGGAGGGCGCUUACCACGGUGAGAUUCAUGACUGGGGUG